rnacentral:lncRNA from 1 species
CAGCGUAGUGUUUCUAUCACACACUGAUGAACACAUCCCUUGGAACUGCUACUGUAUGAAAGCUGUAGCCUAGAGGUUGAACACAUGGUAUGGAAUAUGGCUGCUGCAUUGCUCCUGGGUGCCAUUGGACAGGUCGUGAGAAGCAGACAAGUGAGAGGUGAGCCUGUAUUUCAACCCUCGCAGAGGAAGCAGUCCUGAAGCUGUUGUCUCCUUGGUAGGUGUUCAAAUGACCUUUCAGCAGUGGAUUGGCACAAAGUAAUGGUCAAUAAUAGUGGUUUGCUGUAGGGAAGCUUUCCAUUCUGUCACCAUUGUUUUUGGAGCUGAGAGACCCUUAACAGUAAUUUUCAGGAAGUGGGACAAAAUCAGGAAUUGGAUGUAAAUAUCCUUUGACCAGUAUGUUAGAUCUGUGCAAGACAUUCCACAGCUCUACUCUACAGAUGAGGCCAACAUGGAUACCCUGGUCUGUACUUUAAAUAAGCACCAUGAGAAUGCACGUGGUUUUGCACUAUUAAGUGGUAUCUAGAAUGUUAUUGUACAUUAUUAUAAACAAAAUACAGGAAUGUCACAGCUGACUAAAUUCCUAUCAAUUAUGAACUUAAUUUUUACACACAUUUAAUACUUAUCUCAUUUCAGACUUUUCUAUACUGAGAAAUUUUCUUUUAAAGAAAAAUGGUUUAUACAGUUCACUUCCUGCCAUAAUCAAGGUCUUUCUAACCUGAUAUCUGAAGGUUAUGCUUCAGUGAAUAAUUCAGUAGGUUAGUGAAACUGUGGCAGCAAAGAAAGUGCUAAUCUUAGAUGGAAGCUGUGCGGGAUAUUAAGAAACAAUUGCAAAAAGUGACAUAUUUAAUAGAGAAAGAUUACUCUGUGCUACAUCUAUUUAAUUUGAAUUGAAUAAAUUUUGCCAGUAUUUUAUGAGAUGCA